rnacentral:rRNA from 1 species
UGAGGAAUAUUGGUCAAUGGACGCAAGUCUGAACCAGCCAAGUAGCGUGCAGGAUGACGGCCCUAUGGGUUGUAAACUGCUUUUAUAUGGGGAUAAAGUGGGGAACGUGUUCCCUUUUGCAGGUACCAUAUGAAUAAGGACCGGCUAAUUCCGUGCCAGCAGCCGCGGUAAUACGGAAGGUUCGGGCGUAAUCCGGAUUUAUUGGGUUUAAAGGGAGCGUAGGCCGUUUGGUAAGCGUGUUGUGAAAUGUAGGAGCUCAACUUCUAGAUUGCAGCGCGAACUGUCAGACUUGAGUGCGCACAACGUAGGCGGAAUUCAUGGUGUAGCGGUGAAAUGCUUAGAUAUCAUGAAGAACUCCGAUUGCGAAGGCAGCUUACGGGAGCGCAACUGACGCUGAAGCUCGAAGGUGCGGGUAUCGAACAGG